rfam:Sulfitobacter mediterraneus strain 1FIGIMAR09 PM02_001, whole genome shotgun sequence.
CGGUUGGCAGUCACCAAGGCGUCGCUGUCCCUGCAAGGGAAAGCUAAAGCUGCCA